AAUAUCUUGGUCCAACAUUUUAUUGAUU
rnacentral:sRNA from 1 species